UACGGAGGAUCCGAGCGUUAUCCGGAUUUAUUGGGUUUAAAGGGUGCGUAGGCGGCUUAUUAAGUCAGGGGUGAAAGACGGUGGCUCAACCAUCGCAGUGCCCUUGAUACUGAUGAGCUUGAAUACACUAGAGGUAGGCGGAAUGUGACAAGUAGCGGUGAAAUGCAUAGAUAUGUCACAGAACACCGAUUGCGAAGGCAGCUUACUAUGGUGUUAUUGACGCUGAGGCACGAAAGCGUGGGGAUCAAACAGG
rnacentral:rRNA from 1 species